rnacentral:lncRNA from 1 species
CACCACCUGAAACUCCCAUUCCAAGGUAGAGCAAGCCCAAUUCAGCCAUAGCCUUUUCUCUCCUCUCAGUGUUCUCAUACCACUCAUUUCCACCAUCAAUGAUACAAUCUCCCUUCUCCAAGUAGGCAGAAAGAGUCUUUAUGGUUUGAUCAACAGGUGACCCUGCCUUGACAAGCAUAAUUAUCACUCGAGGCUUUUGGAUUGACUUCACAAAAGAUUCAGGAUCAUGGAAGCCAUAUAAGGGAAGAUCUCCCUCUUUUUUAGCCCUCUCAACAGUCUCAUCAACUUUUGAGGUGGACCGAUUAUAAACAGAAACGGGGAAGCCUUUCUCCGCAAUAUUAAGGGCCAGGUUCUGGCCCAUGACAGCCAGACCAGCGAGGCCUAUUCUUGUUGGUUUUGGGGGUGCGGCCAUCGUUACCUGUCCAAAAUUAUCUGAGGAUAAAUUCCAUAACUUUGAAAAAUUAAUUAAUAUUAAUUAACAGAAAACCUAAAACACAUAUGGUUUUUUCUUAGCAUUUCAUAAUGAAAACCUCAAUUUGCGUAAGAGAAGGAUCAAUAAAUAACAUUAGGUUUUGGGGUUAGAUCAGUCAUUUAAUAUUAUUUGGGAAAAAUACAAUCACUUAAAUAACAUUAGGAUCAAUAAAUAAUGAAUUGAUGUGUAGUGACUUUAAAGACAUUUUCAUUUUUUAUGCAAAGAGAAAUUACAUCCCUGUCCUCGAGAUCAAGAAAUUUAAAACUUUCUCGCAAGGCGGGCUUUUUGAUCUUUUCCUAGUGGUAUAGUGUGUGUAUGCACGCGUGCGAUGGAAAAACAAUUAGGCUAUGGUAAAUUUUUUUCUAUUCCUCCCUCUUUCUUUCUUUUCUCCUUGUCAAAGUAUGAAAGUGUCCUAUCAUUUUUUUAUAUCCAAUUUAAUCCUCAUUCUUUUUAUUGUUGUUUGUUUUAUUUUUUAUUUUUUAUUUUAUUUUUAUUUAUUUUUCUUCUUCAUUUCCCCCUCUCAUCAUUUUUUUUUUUUAAUUUGAUUGUUAUAUCAAACUUGAUCCUCAUUCUUUUUAUUUUUUAACCAUUUUACUAAUUGAAUUUUUUUUUCAAUUGCAUCCCAUAACAUUUAAAUUUAAUUUAUUUUUAUAUUGAGUUUGGUUCUUAUUCUUUUUAUUGCUAUUUUAUGUAUCUUUUUUAUUGCAUAUUUUCUAAUUUCAUCCCUCAAUAUUUUUUUUAUUAAGAAUUGUUUUUUGUUUGCCUUCUAUAGGGUUAGUACUAGCCUCGUGACUAGUGUAACGAGUUUUAAAACUUAACACGGGUUGACUUUUUAUUUUUAAGGUCCUUUUAUAAAAUUGAUUUAUUUUAAAUUUUAUUCUUCAACAUUUAAUUUUUAUGUAUUGGUCUUUUUUUUUACUUUCCUUUCUGUAGGGUUAUCUCAAUCUUAUAUACAUCAUCUCGAGGUUGGUUGGUUAACUCGAGUUGACUCGAAUAUUCUUUUUUCAUUUUUUAUUUUUAAAAUAAUAUUUUUAAGUUUCAUCACUCAACAUUUUUUUAUUGAGAUGUUUGCUUCUUUUUUUUUGUUUGCUUUCUAUGUGGUCAGUCCUAGCCUCAUAACCAUAAUCAUUAGUUUUGAAUGUUAAGACAUGUUGACUUUAGUCUUUUUUUAAAUAGAUUUUUUUUUCAAUUUCAUCCUUCAACAUUUUAUUUUUUUGAAAUAGAUCUUUGUACUUUUUUUUCACUUUCAUUUCUAUGGUGUUAUCCCAAUCUUGUGCCCAUGGUUGUCGAGUGAGCAGGUAAACCCAUGUUGACCUAGAUCUUCUUUUUUUUAUUAUUGAUUUUCUUAUAGUUUCACCAUUCAAUAUUGAGUUGUUUAAUAGUUGAGUUUCAUAUUUUUAUUCAAUUCACUUUCAUUAAUAACCUUUUUUUACAUUUUAUUGGCAUGAAUAAUCAUUUGGAAAAAUAAAAAAUUAUUUUAAGAAACAAAGUUAUUAAAUACAAUUGAGUGCAUGACUCAUGUUGCAAGAUCAAAUAUCUUAGUUUUAAUUAUAUCUUGAUCAAAUAUUGAUUUAUUUAAUUAAAUGCAUCUAUAACUAUUUUGAUUUAUGAUUGAGAAUUUUUUUUUAUAUCUAAAAACACGUUGGAAAAGCCUGUAUAUUCUAUUUUUUACUUAAAAAAAUAAUCUGAUUUGUGGGAAAAUAUGGGUCAAAUAGCUAGUAAAACACUAAAAGAUACGUUGUUUUUACUAUGCUCCACAUCACAAAAAUACUAUUCAUUAUAAUAGUGUUUUUUUCUUUGAUUUUUUUUUUCAAUCUAUGUUUUUUUUCCCUUUUACUGUUCAUUAUUUUUUUGUGGUUUGCUUUUUAAGUGGUUAUUCCAAACUCAUGACUUGUGUUGCAAGUUUGACAUACUAACUUGGUUGACUUAUUUUUUUAAUUAGCUGUUUUUUUUUUUAUUUAUUUCUAGCCUUCAACAUUGGGGGUCAUGGGCUUUGUAUGUUAACUCAUGUUGACUCAUAUCAUUUUUUUAAUUGAUAUUUUUUUCAAUUUUAUCUUUUAAUAUUAGAUUAAUUUGAAAUUGAGCUUCAUAACUUAAUUUCUAUUUGUUUUAUAUAGGGUGAGGUUAUCAUGAUCUUGUGACUUGGUUCGUGAGCUUUGCAGGUUAACUUGGGUUGACCCAACUCCAUCUAAUAUGUUGUCAUCUUAAUAUUUUUUAAAAAAUAAUCAUCUUGAAUUUUUGUAGUUAAAUUACAAUUUUAUUGGUUGUUUGAGUUGUCUUUGGAUCCGUCAACCCGAGUUACUUUGGGUCAACUCCCAUAAGGUUUUUUUUUUCCUACAAGAAAAACAUUAGCAACACUUGGAUUUUUUUUACAUUAUAAAAAAAUGAACCGAUCUUCAGCAUAUCACGAGCAAAAGAUCUUUUUACAUUGGUAACCAACUUUUUUUUCAUUGUUUUAAAAAUUUUAUCCUUAUAUUUUUUUUCUUUUUGCAUUUAAUUCUUUUGUGACAUAAUUAUUUGAAAUAAAAUUUUAAAUUGUAGUGGAAAGAAAAAAAAAUUAAAAGAGAGAUGAUGAAAAUGUAAAACAAGCAAAAAAUACAUGGCUAGUUCAUAUUAUUCCGCUUUUUAGUUCCUCAGUUUGAGAUAUGAAAGAGAAACUCGCCAAAAAUAUAGUAAAAGGAAGUGAAAGUAGUUGGUUAUUCAAAUUUUAGCCACUAAAAGUAAGGAUAUUUAUGUCAAUGGAUUCCUCUUCUUGAGAGAAAUGCAAAAAAUAUGGUUUUUUUCUUUAAACAUGAUGGAAAAAAUAGAUCAAGUUUCAUUUGAUUUUUUCAUAUGGUUGAUUUUUAUUUUUUUAGAGUGAUUUUGAGGUGUUUUUGGUUUAUUAAGUGAUUUUUUUAGGUUUAUAUUAUGUUAUGAAGAUGUUAUUAGGUAAAAACAAGCAGAAAAUUGAGUUUAAGGGAUUGAAAAACAUGGACUCUUGAUUUUGCAAUCAUUAAAGGUGACUAGAAAAAGACUAGUUAGCAAUAGACCACUUAUCAUUGCAAAUGACCUGUCACCCUCUUUAAAAAUAAUAAUAAUUAUAGGAGCGGGUAACGAGGAAAACAAAGUGCAGGCAUGAGCUUUUAAUUAAUGCCAAGUGUGUGGACCUAGCCCAUCAACACCUGGUCUUUUUGUAUUUUUUUAAUCUUUUUUCAUUAGUUAUUUAUAUUUAAAUAUUGAUUUAUGUCAUUUCUCUUAUUUUUUAAACAAAUUGAAUCAGCUUUGUUUUAUAAAUAGUGAUUAAUCUUUUAAUAUUUUUUUAGUUGCAUGAUAAUUUGAAAAGUUUAGUUUGAUUUAUCUUGAAUUUUCUUUUUUAUUCGAAUUAGAUGUAUUUGUAUCAAUUUCAUAUAAAAAUGGAAACCAUUUAUUAUUAGUGACAAGAAUUAGUUGUUCAGAUAAAAUUAAUGAAAAAAAUAUCCAAGCUAUAAAGCAAGUUGAGGGCACGGUGCUCACGCUUUCAAAUUGUUUUUUUUAUGUUAAAAAAUGAUUUUUGAUCUGACCUGUAGUGUAGUGCAAGUAAGUUAGCUAGUGAAAAACAAAUAAAUAAAGUGUAUGGAUUCUUGAAUAAAGGCUAGCAAAUAUAUUGCCUUCACGUUUCUUUCAAUAUUGUUUCAAUUUUGGGACAUAUUGUGAGGUUUAAAGUUAAAGAUUGAAACAUAAUGACAAUAAGCUCUUCAAAUAAAACUUUAAUUUCAAGUUAACACUCAAAAGAGCAUGAUUAACAACAAAAUAAUGAAUCAUUCAUGUUAAUUUCACUACUAGAAAAUUGAAAAAAAAUAACAGAAAUACAAAAAAUAUUAUGUCAUGUUUUAAUGAUGGAAAAUGCAAUGGAAAAUUUUUGUUAGUAAUUUCAGACAGAAAUGAUGAUGGAAUAAAAAAAAUUUAAAAAAAAAUCAUCAGCAUUGCAAAUGUGUCAAAUUAUUGACAUAAAUAUAGAUGUAAAUCCCAACAGUGAUUUUAAGAGAAAUUUAAACUUGAUAGUGGCUCUAUACAACACAUUUUCCUCUUGUUCUUUCAAAACAAUCACUCAAACCCUCUUUCUUUCUCUCCCUAAAACUCGACUGAUAGCCACCUUUAUAAGCUCCAGAAAUCUAGCCACCACAACUUGCCGACGUCAACAAAACAUCUCUCCAAAGGCCUAAGCUUCCCUCCCUUGGUUUCAUUUCUUGUCAAGCUUUAUUCCACCAUGUAAGCAAACCUAUCCAUUUAUGUUUUAUUUUAAUAUAUUGAAAUUUGCUUGUAAUAUUUAUAAUUUGCUUGUUUAUUUAAGUGUUUUACUUUUUUUUUUAUAAUGAUAUUUUUUUGUAUUAAUGUAUUUUAGGAUUUGUUUAGGAUUUGGGUAAAAUGGAUUUAAUUUGUCAAUUGAUAAAAUUGAACGUGAUUUUGUAACUUAAAUGUAUUAGAAUUGAAUAAAUUAUGGGUAAUUGGCUACCAAUUAUUAUUAUUAUUAUUAUUUUGUCAAUUUUAUGGUUAAGUUGAAAAUUUGAGGAAAAUUAAUUUUUGUGUGGAAUUGAUAAUAAUUAUAGGCAUUAAUUUAGGUUGAAUAAAUUUGAAUUGAAGAAAUGAUGGCAAAUAAUUUUAGUCAAUUAAGGGUUUUGUUUAAAAUCUAGGAAAAAUUAACUUAAUAUGUAGUUGAUAAUAAUUAGGAUAUUAAUUUAUUUAUUUUAUUCUUGAAUUGAAUAAAUAAUGGAUAGUUAGUUGGGUAUCAAUUUGUUUUUUCAAUUUUAUGGUUUACUUAAAAUUUUAGGGAAAAUUGAUAUUGUGUGGAAUUGAUAACGAUUAAGGAUUAAAUAUGUUUCAACUUAUAAAGUGUUUAAUAGUUAUUGGAUUAAGAAUUACAUUUUUCUAAAUGGGAAGAAUUGAGUCACUCUGGAAUUAAAUAAAUGAUGGGUUAUUAAGUUUUUGGUUGGUUUGUGUAGGCUAAUUAUAAUUUAUGUUUAAUAAAUAGUAGAAUUUGUUAUAUUUAUAUUUUUUGGAUAAUUUUGUUGUAUAUUUUUCUAAUAAAUGGGAAGAAUUGAGAGAAAAAAAGUUCAAGUCCAAUAAAAGCGUUCCUACUUUAUCAAGUAGCAGUGUUAGUGAUCGUGUUGUGAAUAUAAGGGAGGAUUGUGAAGAGACAUCUAGUGUAGAAGUUAUCGACUAAAGCUUAACUAUUGAGGACAUAUUGAGCAUCAUUUCAUUGAUAGAGCCCGUCACAAGCAAAUUGAUAGCAUAAUGGAAAGGUGACCUCUUAAUGUAAAUGUUUUCUCUGAUGAAGUUAAUUAUUUUUAUUGGGUUAUUUUAAGUUUUAUAAUUAUAUGAAAAUGGCUUUCAUAAAUUGACUUUCAUGUUUAUCAAUGUUAAAAUUGCUCGUUUUAUAACAUCUGCGAUGGAGUGAUCAUUGAAAGAACUAUUAUUUCAAUGAAGUCAGCUUGAUGACUAUCUUGAAAAUACGUAUAUUAUAGAUGUUUGGUGAAGAAAGUUUAAGGUUAGAUGAAUAAUCUCAAAUUAAAGUAACUAGUUUUUAAAUUAUGAAAACUAAUUCAUGUAUGAAAUUAAUUAAAAAAAAAUUGGUGGAACAAGAGGCAUUUGUGAAGAGAGUAUGGGAAAACCACGGUACAACUAGGUAAGUUUAAAAAACUAAUAUUCAUAUAGUUAGGUGUUAUGUUAAUGUUAUAUUAUUCUAAACCUAUUUUCUUUUAUUUUCUUAUCUAAUUUUUAUAUAAUAAAUUUAAAUCAUAUUUGAGUUAACUAUUGGUUGCACCAUGUUGCAUGAUUUUUUGUACGAUUCCUAUACCAAAGCAAUGAAGAAGGCCAAUUUGAAUGAUAUAGAGAUGUGAAAAAGGUAUAAACUGAAGUAUGUCACAUACAAUAAUUGAGCAAUAAAUCUUGAAUUUGUGGAAUUAUAAAGUCUUACAAAGCGCUCAAGAUCGAGUAAACAAAAUCAAAAUAAAGAAACUUAUGGUUUGAUGAGCAAGCACACCAGAGGAGUGAUUCCAUUUACUCAUCAUGCAAAGUGCAUAGUAAGAGUUUAUUGUAAUAUAUUUUAUUAUAUCUCUUGAAUUUUUAAUUAUGAGUUUAUUAAUGAGACUUCCAAUAAACUAUUUAACGUGUAGGAAAAAAAACAGUUGGGUCAAGAACCAACAUCAAUGGAGUUAUUUGAGGAAACUCAUAUAAAAAAUGGAGAUUGGGGUAAGAAAAAUUAAACUUUUGUUGAUAAACGAGCGGAUGCAUUUGUUGUAAGUGUUUUGAUAGUUAUCAUUGGUUAAGAUUGUUAAUUUUCAUCAAUAAUAUAAAAUAUAAUUGGAUUUUGAAACUUUUUUUUUUCAUAGGAGAGAUAACAUGGUUAAAAAUUUGGUUAUAACACUUCCAACCAUCCUCGUCAUGAUCCUCUAGUGUAGUUGGAGGCUGCUACAAGUGAUAAACCCUAGAAGAAUCAUAUUUAUACUUUUUUCUAUAGCAUUAAUCCAAGAACUGAGGAAGGGUCACAUUGUUUCGGCUAUAGGCACACUACAUUCCAUCUCAAACUAUUGAUCAUAGGAAUUUAAUGAGAUUGUACAUAAAAAAAUUUCAUAAAAAAUGGUUAUUAAGAUGGAAAAGAUGAGUGCAUAAUUCCAAGAACAAAAUAAGAUGUAGUGGGCUUAACUAAGAGCAGGUAUGUGUGUAUCUUUUUCUCCUGCUUUUGGACCUUCUAGUUCAACAUCAUUUCCUCCCCCUUCAUCACCUCCAAUGUAAUAUACCAAGUAUACUUCACCUUGUUGAUCUGACUGUAUCUCAAUUGGAAUUUGAAUGGUUUUCUACUUGUAUCUCUUCAUGUUUAUUUCUACCUUUUCUUUUUUAAUAUUUGUGUAUGGAUUCUAUCCAUCUCAAUAUUGUGCACUAUUUAUAUGAAUUUGCUACUUAAAUUUUCCAAUUGUAAGAACUCAUAGGUUUACUCAUUUAGCAUUAUUCAUUUUAAAAUUUAUAUAAGUUAAUUUUUGGAGAUGAGUUUACACUAUUUAUGGUUUAAGAUUGUUGUGGAUAUACUUCACUCGUGAUGCUUUUUGUUAUGGAUUUAUUGUAUAUGAAUUUACACUAUUUAUGGUUGUGGAUUUAUUGUAAGCAAACAAUUAUUGGCUUUAGAUCAUAACAAAUAAUAAUAAUAAAAAAAAAUCUCAAACAGAACCAAUAUUCUAUCGGAAUGUUUGUUAGAAAUUCCACCAAAAUGUUCCUACCUUUCCUGUAACUUUUGGUUAAACUUAUUGAAUGUAUAUCAACUUGGUAAAGGAAUGGCUGAUAGAAUUUUCUGUCAGAGAAAUAAACAACAAUGAAAUUUUUGAUGUAAAAUGGGCUGUAAAAGUUUAUUUUUAGGUGCAAAGAUUUCAUCGAUGGUUCUACCAAUAUUGAAAAUUUUGAUGGUAUAAAAAAACCAUGAGUUAUUUUUUUGACUCGUAUUCUAUCAUAGGGUUUGUCGAUAAUUCUCAAUACCGACAAAAUUUCUCUAUAUGCCGACAAAAUAUUUUGUUAGUAUUUUUUAAUUUUCUACAAGUGCUUGAAAUAAUGACAGCCAAACCAAUUUCACUAGCAAGAUCAUGUAAAGACAUGCCGAUCCUAGAUCACCAAUUUCUCAAUAAAUACCAAAAACAUAACAUUGCAAUUACAAUUACAAGUAAAAAUAUAUUACAAACUAAAAGAGGUAAUGCUUUAACUAUAAUGAGUUACAUAUUGUUUCUUCUCACAGUUUAUUAUGAAUUAAUUACAACAGUAUCUUUUUCGUCCUCAAACUUUUUUAACUAUACCAUUGCAUGCAUUGUCUGUGGUUUUUUUUUUUUUUUUUAGUUUAUGAUCUCUUUUAUUUGCGUAUUCUUUAGAGUUAAAGGUUUCGAUCAGAUUUUCAAACUUGAUUAGAGGCCGAUUUAAUGAGAUGAAUUUUAAAUUCGUAGCAUAAAGAUGCAAUUAAAAAAGAAAAUAUCAAACUAAAAACCAAAAAAAAAUCAGUAUGGCUCAACUAAAAUUCAUGAAAGAAAUUCUCUUUUUGUCUACAUAUUCUCCAUUAACUUCUCUUUUGGUCCCUUUAUUUUUAGCAUUUUAUGUUUUGGACCAAAACUUUAUUUUAUUACAUUUUAGUCCCUGAGUUUGAGAUAAGAGAGAGAAAGUCGCCAGAAGAUAGGGAUUCAAAGAGAAAGUUAUCGGCUGACAACAUUCUAUCAAUAAAAAAAAUCAAUCUUAGUAUCAAUUAAUUUCAUUUGAUGAGAUUUGUUUCAUUAUGGUGUUUUUUAAUCAUUUAUCUUGUUAGUAAAAUAGAUUAGAAUUCGCGAAUCUUUUUAUUCGAGAUAUUUUUUUCAGUUUUUUGACCGAUUAAAAAGGUUAUAUAUGGGUUUGUUAAGCUACAUGAGUUUUUUUAAUAUAUUUUUUCAUGUGAAAAAAGCUUGAAAAAUAAGUUUAUUAGGUCUGAGAGCUCGAGAGUAGACAAUGUCAUUUGUUUUUUUAAAAUAAAUAAAAAAAAGCUAACAAUGUAUCAUUUGCUGGUCCACCAGGCCAGACAUUUGGCCUGUUUUUGUUAAAGCUUUAAUAUUGUUUUUCUUCUAUUUUAAUUAAGUUUUGUUAAAACAAAUUAAUUAAGAAUAUGUUAAGCAUAUUAUUCUAUUAAAUAUUGUUCUAUUUUUUUUUAAUAAUAUAAAGACAUUGUUUUAUAAUAUUAGUUAGAGCUCUUUUUGUACAACCCAUCAUUACUAUUUUGUUUUGUUUUUUCUAAAGCUUUAUUAGUUGUGUUUCCUGCACAUGUCUAUUUUUAUUCUAUGUUUCCUGCACACACGUAUAAUUAGAUAGCAAAUUAGACUACAAAAAGUUGGUGUAAGCAGUCUAUUAUUCUUAUAUUUUUAAUUCAUACACAUUGACACUAUCAAAAUAAUUUUUAUUUAUUUAUUAAAAGUUACUUUUUUUUUUUAAUUCUGAUAAGCUUUUGUUUUUUUUUUUAAUAUUUAGGAAAACAAUCCAAAAAAAAGAGGAAGUGCAUUAAUAAGAUAAUGAGGUUUUGAUUAGAGAUUUGCUUUUUCUUUUUUACCAACCAUUAUUUCAAAGGGUCCAAAUUUUAUUUGAUAUUUAUUCUAAUUGUUUUAUGUUUUAUCAAAUAAAGCUCAUAGCACAUAAAAGCUAUAUUUGUUUUAGAGGAAAACAAAUUGAUAAGAAAAGAAGGGAUUACAAUAGUAAAUUAUUUUGUUUCCAUGGAAUUUAAAUUAUUAUAUUUCUUAAAAAAAAUAUUGAUAUAUAAAUAAAUAAAUUAAGUAGUUUAUUGCAGCAAAAAAAUAAGAAUCUUAAUCAGCAUCUAUAUCUUGUCUUUCUAGUAUGGUUUUUAGAUAAUGCUAAAUGAGUAAACCCUUCCCAUUUUUCUUCUCCACUCAGAUAUCCGAAGGAAAAAAAAAAAACAAAACAAUAACUACUAAAAAAAAAAAGUCACAUCUUUGUCAAACAAAUAAGAGAAAGCACACACCUUGGAAAUGGGUUCUGAAAAAUUAAAGAUCUGGGAAUGGAAGAAGAGACGAGAAAUUAGUAGAUAGCUGACAUCAACAAUAUUAAAGAAAAAGAAGGAAGGGAAGGUGCACGUAAGAGUAGCAGUCGCUUACCGCGUAGAAGUGAUAGUCAGAAACGUAAGACUUGAUGAUGGAGCUUUUCAUUUGUCUGAAUUUAUAUAUUAUUUUAAUUCUCCGUACCAUGAGCUGAUUGGUAGGUGGGAACUGGGAGUUGGAUGUGACCUUGGUUUUUUACCUAACGUAUGAAUUUUUUUUUUAUUAUUAUUAUGGAUGGAUUAAUAAGUUAUAUCUAUUUCAUGUAAAUUUUUAAUAACUUGAAAUUUAUAAAAUUUAAAAUAAUAAUUUUUAAAAAAUAAAUUUAGAACUUCACCACACCCUAAUAUUAACUUUAAAUUUUGUAAAAGGUUGAAUGCAAAGAUGCUCGAGCUUCGAAUUCCAUUACUGAAUUGUCGUUUUCAUGCUGAGAGAACAGAACCUCCUGAUUUUUGGAUAAAAAUAAACUUGAUAAUCGCGAUCACGCCAACCUUCCUCUUCUUUUAUCUAUGAUAUAUUAAAAUAAAUAAUAUUUUUUAUUUUAAAAAAUUAUUUUUAAUAUCAAUAUAUUUAAACAGAAAUGCCAUGAGCCUCAUCUUCAGCUCUGUUUCUGGAAAAAAAAAAACCCUGAUGUGGUAUGUUUUCAAGAUAAGAUUGUUACUUGGUGAAAAGUUAGCAUAGCAUGGGUUUAUCUGGCUAUAUAACAAUUGAAAUCAAGUAAUUGUUGCAGCAUUCAAACAUUUUCCCCGCCUUAUAGAUAAUAAAUUCAAACGUAAAGUCGGAAAAGUAUAAACCAACAUCCAUUGUAUGGCAAUAUUGUAAAGUAAAUAAAUUGCUGAAGAAUAGCAAAGCAAGGAAUACCACCGAAAGAGAAAUUAUUGCUCGAAUAUCUGAUUUCAAACUACUCCUCAAAAGCACCGUUACAUAUCUCUUCAAACCAGAAAACAGCCACGAAGCUUAAAUGAGGAACCUGGUGGCGCUAAAAUACAAAGCAGUAGAACCGCCAAGAAAAACCACAACAUAUAGAAGAUCGAAAAAGUGUCUAAAUAUUCAAAUGGAUCGAGAUGCAUCUCAUGAAAUUGGGUGGCGAAAGUUGUACCCAGCAUAGAGUCCAGGGGAGAAGUUAUUGUCUUAUUGAAAGUCUUGAUUAAGCUUUGAUAGAACUAAGGAAAGGUUUAAUUCUUCAACUGCCUGGCAAUCUUGAACCAUUCAGUAUGGAAAGAUCCUUCCACAUCAACCCUUUCGUAUGUAUGAGCACCAAAAUAAUCUCUUUGAGCUUGGACCAAAUUAGCAGGCAACCUUCCCCUCCGGUAGGUGUCAAAAUAAGCGAGGCUGGAUGACAUACCAGGAGUGCUAAUACCGGAGGUGAUUGCAAGACACACAACCCUGCGCCACGCAGACUGGCGCUCAAUAAUUUCCUUAGCAAACUCUGGAUCCACUAGAAGGUUAGCAAGAUCAGGAUUCCUAUCGUAUGCCUUCUUGAUCCAGUCCAGAAAUACAGCUCGGAUAAUACAACCACCCUUCCAAAUCCUAGCCAGUUCUCCCAAUUUCAAGUCCCAUCCCUUCUCAAUACUCUUUGCACGGAUCAGAUUCAUCCCCUGUGCAUAACUACAAAUCUUGGAUGCAUAAAGAGCUUGUCUGACAUCAUCAAUCAACUGCUUCUUAUCCACCACUUGGCCAGUUAAAAUAUCCCCAAAACCACCUGCUUUGAAGACUUUAGCAGCUUCAACGCGUUCCUCCUUCAAACCACUGAGGAACCUUGCAUCCAAAGAAGAUGCAAUUGUAGGAGCUGCUACUGAUAGAUCAGCAGCUUGCUGCACAGUCCAUUUACCUGUACCCUUCAUGCCGGUUUUGUCCAAAACCUUGUCAACCAGAUAUCCUUCCCCCUUAUCAUCUUUAAUUCCAAAUAUAUCUGCGGUGAUUUCAAUCAAGAAGCUAAGAAGCUCACCCUUGUUCCAUUCUGCAAAAACACUACGGAGUUCUUCAUUUGACAACUUUCCAACUGAUUUUAGUACAUCAUAAGCUUCAGCAAUCAACUGCAUAUCGCCGUAUUCAAUUCCAUUAUGAACCAUCUUGACAAAAUUACCAGAACCGCCUUUGCCGAUGUAAGUCACGCAAGGGCCACUAUCAGGAACUUGAGCUGCCACUUUAAGAAGAAUGUCUUCGAUGUACUUGAAAGCCUCGAAGGAACCUCCAGGCAUCAUUGAAGGUCCAUUACGUGCACCCUCUUCACCACCUGAAACUCCCAUUCCAAGGUAGAGCAAGCCCAAUUCAGCCAUAGCCUUUUCUCUCCUCUCAGUGUUCUCAUACCACUCAUUUCCACCAUCAAUGAUACAAUCUCCCUUCUCC